rnacentral:tRNA from 1 species
CAAAUAAUAGUAAAAAUAUUAUAUUUUAUUUACAAUAAAAAGUUGCAUUAAUGAUUAUUUGA